rnacentral:rRNA from 1 species
GUCAGCAGCCGCGGUAACACCGGCGGCCCGAGUGGUGAUCGUGAUUAUUGGGUCUAAAGGGUCCGUAGCCGGUUUGGUCAGUCCUCCGGGAAAUCUGAUAGCUCAACUAUUAGGCUUUCGGGGGAUACUGCCAGACUUGGAACCGGGAGAGGUAAGAGGUACUACAGGGGUAGGAGUGAAAUCUUGUAAUCCCUGUGGGACCACCUGUGGCGAAGGCGUCUUACCAGAACGGGUUCGACGGUGAGGGGCGAAAGCUGGGGGCACGAACCGGAUUAGAUACCCGGGUAGUCCCAGCCGUAAACGAUGCUCGCUAGGUGUCAGGCAUGGCGCGACCGUGUCUGGUGCCGCAGGGAAGCCGUGAAGCGAGCCACCUGGGAAGUACGGCCGCAAGGCUGAAACUUAAAGGAAUUGGCGGGGGAGCACAACAACGGGUGGAGCCCUGCGGUUUAAUUGGACUCAACGCCGGACAACUCACCGGGGGCGACAGCAAUAUGUAGGCCAAGCUGAAGACUUUGCCUGAAUCGCUGAGAAGAGGUGCAUGG